UAAUACGAAGGGGGCUAGCGUUGUUCGGAAUUACUGGGCGUAAAGCGCACGUAGGCGGACAUUUAAGUCAGGGGUGAAAUCCCAGAGCUCAACUCUGGAACUGCCUUUGAUACUGGGUGUCUUGAGUAUGGAAGAGGUGAGUGGAAUUCCGAGUGUAGAGGUGAAAUUCGUAGAUAUUCGGAGGAACACCAGUGGCGAAGGCGGCUCACUGGUCCAUUACUGACGCUGAGGUGCGAAAGCGUGGGGAGCAAACA
rnacentral:rRNA from 1 species